GUUGGCUGAGAGAGUGCGAUGUUGGCACGGUUCAAUCAAAUCGCCGGCCGGGUUGACUUGUUGAUUGAGCCGUGCCAAUAUCACAACCUUCUCUAGCCUAGGCGGCCGGGCUACAGUUUUGGAUGCUACUAUGCUUCCUCAAGUUGUAGGAAAUCAAGGUGCUUCUAUCCCUGGCCGGACAUAUAAUAAUAGUAUAGUAGCAUACUAUAUAUAUCGAGAUAGACAAGGACAACAUAUAUCGAGGUAGGCAAGGACAGCAUGAGAGCAUGUUUCACAUGUGCUAUUUUAUAAUGUUACUGUAUUAAUAUCAUUUAUGUAUGUGCGGGCACUGGCAA
rnacentral:precursor_RNA from 1 species